rnacentral:rRNA from 1 species
GCUCAUUAAAUCAGUUAUCGUUUAUUUGAUAGUACCUUACUACAUGGAUACCUGUGGUAAUUCUAGAGCUAAUACAUGCUAAAAACCCCGACUUCGGGAGGGGUGUAUUUAUUAGAUAAAAAACCAAUGCCCCUCGGGGCUCCUUGGUGAUUCAUAAUAACUUAACGAAUCGCAUGGCCUUGCGCCGGCGAUGGUUCAUUCAAAUUUCUGCCCUAUCAACUUUCGAUGGUAGGAUAGUGGCCUACCAUGGUGGCAACGGGUAACGGGGAAUUAGGGUUCGAUUCCGGAGAGGGAGCCUGAGAAACGGCUACCACAUCCAAGGAAGGCAGCAGGCGCGCAAAUUACCCAAUCCCGACACGGGGAGGUAGUGACAAUAAAUACUGAUACGGGGCUCUUUUGGGUCUCGUAAUUGGAAUGAGAACAAUUUAAAUCCCUUAACGAGGAACAAUUGGAGGGCAAGUCUGGUGCCAGCAGCCGCGGUAAUUCCAGCUCCAAUAGCGUAUAUUAAAGUUGUUGCAGUUAAAAAGCUCGUAGUUGAACCUUGGGUCUGGCUGGCCGGUCCGCCUCACCGCGAGUACUGGUCCGGCUGGACCUUUCCUUCUGGGGAACCCCAUGGCCUUCACUGGCUGUGGGGGGAACCAGGACUUUUACUGUGAAAAAAUUAGAGUGUUCAAAGCAGGCCUUUGCUCGGAUACAUUAGCAUGGAAUAAUAGAAUAGGACGUGCGGUUCUAUUUUGUUGGUUUCUAGGACCGCCGUAAUGAUUAAUAGGGAUAGUCGGGGGCGUCAGUAUUCAGCUGUCAGAGGUGAAAUUCUUGGAUUUGCUGAAGACUAACUACUGCGAAAGCAUUCGCCAAGGAUGUUUUCAUUAAUCAGGGAACGAAAGUUAGGGGAUCG